rnacentral:lncRNA from 1 species
UUAUGUAGAGUAAAGAUUGUUUUCGGAUUGGUGUAGUUUAUUAAGUACUUAAUUAAAAAUAAGAUAUGUGUAUCAAUAUAAUAAUAUGAUUGAGAUUGAUAAACAAUAUAUAGAUAUAUAUUAUUAUCUUCUAGCUAUUAGGUUGAUCAUUUUCUAAAUCAUAUUAUAUACGUUCUCAGAUUAUAGACAAACAGGAAAAGAAGUGAUCUCGAGGGUUGAGUAGGUAGUAACAUAGAGAUAUAAGCUAAGUGUACCACAAAGGUUCAAUGAAUUUCGAUGAAUGCUGAAUAAAAUUAUUAAUAUUGUUAGGUAGAGUUAUCAAAUGUGAA